CCCCCCCCGUCCCCCCACCGUGUUUCCUCCCCGCGCUCCAAACCGCACCGAGGCGAGCGGCGUUUCUAUAGCGAUGCACCGGGGAGAGGCAUGAAUUACAGCAGGCAUAAGAUCCACGUCUCAGUGGUUGGACCUCAGCGCCACCGAGGUCUGUGUGACUUCUUAUUGACGCCAUUCAUCGUCAACGACCCCCUCAAGUACCCAGUCGAGCGCUGAUGUGGCCUAAAUGUAGGCGUUCAAUGGCUUCCGCCAGGCCCAUCGCUCAGGGGGUCUCCCGGGUGGACCCGCUGCGACCGUCUGUCUGGGCAGCGAGCCGCGGCAACCGUUGUCAAGGCAACAAAUUGUCCCGUUUAACUUCCGAUGCUGCACGAAGACCAGCGAGCGAGCGAGCGGUGAAAGCUCCACGCGUCGGCGUCACCUUUCUAUCCUCUUUUAAUGCUCCCUCUUUCUUCGGCACACUCGGGACGGGAAGUUCGGGUCAUUUUACCGACUCGGUCCUUUGAAUCUCGUUCAGUAAAAUGAACGAAUCUUUUUUCGAGUCAUUCGUUCGUUUCGGGGGGGUUAACUACUCCCGGCCGUGUCCUCGGGUCAACGUUUCGUUCAUUGAGCCUAUGCAAAGUCCCGAUGCGUGGCCACGACAAAAUGAGCUGAUCUUUUUUUAAAGAGGACUCGUUACUCUCGAGUCCUUGUAAGGAUUCGUUCAAAAUGAACGGAUCGUUCACGAGCGACACGUCACCAACGCACACACACGAGUCGAUGGGCUGGUAUUGGACUGGUUCCCUAUUGAUUGCUCCCCGACUGCAGCUACGGGUCCAUUCUACUUUUUCCACUCUGACAAACGUUGUCGCCGCUGCAAACACACAACGCAGCUACGCACAGGAAAUUGACUGUUACGUCGGAGGCCCAGCUUCCCAUUUUUGCUCCCGUUCCAACUCAAUUACAGCUUUUCCCGGGCUGAUCAUUUCCCCCCGCCCCCCCUCCGGGCCCCGUCCAGUCAGAGACGCGGCGCCUGGGCUUCACGACGACGUGGCGCUGUAAUCUCGCUGCUUCUCAUUGCUGCUUCGUCCUGUCGCCAUAACAACGGAAACACACUCUGCUUAAUUAAAAAGCAGAAUAACUCCAGCGUGAUUCGAGUUUAGGUCAACUCCUGAUUCUCACACACCGACCCUACGAAGAGUAAUGGAUUGUAAUCCGUCCAAAUCCCAGAAAUACCCAGAAGUCGCAACGCCACUUUUAAUCAAAACCACAAUCCAAGCCCAGCUGUGGACUUCAAGAGAAACGUGAGGAAAAAAAAGGGUGAAUCACAAACAAAAACAUUUAAUCGAAUCGCCUCCACAUGGGCAAACCCGACAGCCGUCCAGCUGCAAAGUCCAGGGUUUUAUACUUCGGUGCAAUUAUUAAUUAUUAAUUAGUUUGCCCGCCUGGCUGGUCACAUCUCUCGAUGGCAUCCUCAGGAAACUCUAUUAUCUGCUUCAUUUGCGUCCCGAGCAGACGGAUAAUCUCUCCUCUGCCUCAGCCGGCAUAGCAGCUCUGAGGAAAGUGCUUGUGUGUGUGUCUGUGUGUGUGUGUGUGUGUGUGUGUGUGUGUGUGUGUGUGUGUGUGUGUGUGUGAGAGAGACUGAACAGCGCGUUCUGUAUGUUGGGACACUUUUGCAGCCAUGUGUUUUUGUAUUUGUAUAAUUUGUGUAACAAGAGACGCCUCAGUUUCGUUUAACUUUGUAAAGAACAGUGUGUGUGUGUGUGUGUGUGUGUGUGUGUGUGUGUGUGUGUGUGUGUGUGUGUGUGUGUGUGUGUCACACAGAGUGUUAUUAGCCACACCUCCACCUGCUUCCUGUGGUACCUGGUUCGUACUGCUGUGCUGUUAUUAUGUGAUGAGAACACAGGUCGAUUCAUCCUCUUUAUUUUAACGGUAAAAGUCUCUUCGGCGAAUAACGUCUCACGCGGCAAAAUUGUUAACUUUACUUUUAUUUUUCACAAACGGUGUGAAAGUUGUUAAGGUUUCUACCUUAUUUCAGAAAGAAAAUACGUACACGGCACAACAGGAAUACAGCUUUUGACGCCGCUUGAAUUGUUCCACGAAUCACACGCGUGAUGUCCGUCACGAUAUUUGACAAUAACAUCUUUUAAAGGGACAAACAUCACACGCUUAGUUCACGGCUACUGAAAUACUUUUGUUUCUGUUGUUUCGAUUGCAGCCGCGUUUUUUUUUCCAUGCAACAUGUAAUUCAACAUGCAACAUGUAAUUCGACAUGCAACAUGUAAUUCAACAUGCAACAUGUAAUUCAAAGCUACUAUUUAAGAACGAAUUCAAUAUUUACUCUUUAGAUUUGAUGUGCCAAAAAUGGGAUCGCAUGAAGUGAAAUAUAAUCAGGUGGAGUUCAACAUGAAUGUGAAGUAGCUGAGUGGAAUUAAUAUGAUCACGGAUGAUGUACUUUUAUUUAGAUAGAGAGGGUCACAUGUGCUCGCUUGUGUAAUAUAAAUCUAUUCAACAUUUCUCUAUGAUGUUCAUGUAAAAGUCUAUUUCUCCAGUCUGACGAUUUUGCUUUUUGUUUCUUUUUUUGUUUGCAAUGUUCUUAGUCUCCUAGAACAAAGACAAUGUACUUAUUUUUGUUACAUAGAAUAAAACACAUGGAUGUCGAGAGUC